AACUUUGGACAAUGGGCGCAAGCCUGAUCCAGCCAUGCCGCGUGAGUGAAGAUGGCCCUCGGGUUGUACCGCUCUUUCUGACGGAAAGAAAUCGCGCAGGCUAAUCCCCCGCGCGGAUGACGGUACCGUCAUAAGAAGCACCUGCUACCUAUCCGCCAGCCGCCGCGGUAAUACGUAGGGUGCGAGUGUUAAGCGGAAUUACUGGGCGUAAAGCGUGCGCAGGCGGUUGAUUAAGACAGGCGUGAAAUCCCCGGGCUUAACCUGGGAACUGCGCUUGUGACUGGUCAGCUAGAGUACGGCAGAGGGGAGUGGAAUUCCACGUGUAGCAGUGAAAUGCGUAGAGAUGUGGAGGAACACCGAUGGCGAAGGCAGCCCGCUGGGCCGAUACUGACGCUCAUGCACGAAAGCGUGGGUAGCAAACAGG
rnacentral:rRNA from 1 species